AUUGAACGCUGGCGGCAGGCCUAACACAUGCAAGUCGAGCGGAUGAAGGGAGCUUGCUCCUGGAUUCAGCGGCGGACGGGUGAGUAAUGCCUAGGAAUCUGCCUGGUAGUGGGGGAUAACGUCCGGAAACGGGCGCUAAUACCGCAUACGUCCUGAGGGAGAAAGCGGGGGAUCUUCGGACCUCACGCUAUCAGAUGAGCCUAGGUCGGAUUAGCUAGUUGGUGGGGUAAAGGCCUACCAAGGCGACGAUCCGUAACUGGUCUGAGAGGAUGAUCAGUCACACUGGAAUUUGGACACGGUCCACACUCCUUCGGGAGGCAGCCGUGGGGAAUAUUGGACAAUGGGCGAAAGCCUGAUCCAGCCAUGCCGCGUGUGUGAAGAAGGUCUUCGGAUUGUAAAGCACUUUAAGUUGGGAGGAAGGGCAGUAAGUUAAUACCUUGCUGUUUUGACGUUACCAACAGAAUAAGCACCGGCUAACUUCGUG
rnacentral:rRNA from 1 species